rnacentral:sRNA from 1 species
GCGACUGCAGAGGAACAGCCAGUUGAACCUGAUGGCCCCCUUCCUGGCUCAGACAAUAACCAAGAAAAGAAAGUAAGAUUAUCUCCAGCCAAAAUGUCAACCAAGAAUUCUACAGAUCUAGUUGAAUAUGUUGACAAUGCCAUACCUGGAGCUCCCCCAGGACAGGUGUACCACAGAGGGACAACUCCAGGCACUUGGAAAUAGAAUAACACACUGUUAACACAUGCACAUUGUCCAAAAUACCCAAGGAUGCCAGUGAUGAAGGUGGCAUUGCAGAGGCAAUGCAUAUUAAUUUGAGUUGUUUUCUAUUCCAUAUGUCAAAGCAGGAUUUGGUCUAAUGCUGUCAUUCAUGUUUUCACGGCACUGGGGAUUUAGUCUCAGUCCUUCUACUACUUUGCUGUGUAACACCAGUCGGUUCCAUAAUGUCUCUGGGCUUUAGUUUUUUCAUUUGAAAAACAAAGAGGUUGGACUAGAAACUACUGCAGCUUUAAAAUAAUUCUGAUUUUAAUAAUCAUGACCACAGAAGAAAAAAAUAGCCAAAUGAAUGAAAUGAGUUCAUGUGAAGAGAAAAAUCUAAAUACACCUUGAACUUCG